UGAACGCUGGCGGCAUGCUUUACACAUGCAAGUCGAACGGUAACAGGUCUUCGGAUGCUGACGAGUGGCGAACGGGUGAGUAAUGUAUCGGAACGUGCCCAGUAGUGGGGAUAACUACUCGAAAGAGUGGCUAAUACCGCAUGAGAACUGAGGUUGAAAGCGGGGGACCUUCGGGCCUCGCGCUACUGGAGCGGCCGAUAUCAGAUUAGGUAGUUGGUGGGGUAAAGGCCUACCAAGCCGACGAUCUGUAGCUGGUCUGAGAGGACGACCAGCCACACUGGGACUGAGACACGGCCCAGACUCCUACGGGAGGCAGCAGUGGGGAAUUUUGGACAAUGGACGCAAGUCUGAUCCAGCAAUGCCGCGUGCAGGACGAAGGCCUCGGUUGUAACUGCUUUGUACUAGAACGAAAAGG
rnacentral:rRNA from 1 species